AAACCAGCCGUGGGCAAACUACGGCCCGCGGGCCGAAUCCGGCCCGUUUGAAAUGAAUAAAACUAAAAAAAAAAAGACCGUACCCUUUUAUGUAAUGAUGUUUACUUUGAAUUUAUAUUAGUUCACACAAACACUCCAUCCAUGCUUUUGUUCCGGCCCUCCGGUCCAGUUUAAGAACCCAUUGUGGCCCUCGAGUCAAAAAGUUUGCCCACCCCUGAUCUAAACUCCACAAAGGUGAAGAUCCUAUAUUAAUCACUGCUAUUAUCUCAGUUUUUAGAACAGGGCCUGCCACAAAAUAGAUGUCCAAUGAAUGGUGUUAAAGAUUCAAUAAAGUUUUCAGAUGGGGAUAAUGAGGCACAGAGAAGCUCAGUUUUAAGCCAAGGUCACUGGACUAGGAAAUACAAGGGUCAGGAUUAGAACUCAGCCUGUGUUCAUUUCCCUCCCUCCGUUGCUUCAGGAGAUAAGAGGGGCUCCUUAUCCAACCAUGGGAGCUGGCCGGCUGGGCUGUGCUGUGGGGGAAGCACACCCAGGUUCAGGUGUAAGUCCUGCUAGAGGUCCUGAGCUGACACAGAAACCGCUCUUUUGGCGGCAUCGAGGACAGUCUCCGAGAUUACGGAAAGUAAUUUGAAGGCACAUGAUGACGCUUGCCAGUUUUAAGACUGGCUUUAACUAUUUUUCUUGCAGCUGUAGCUUUCUGGGAUAAUGAAUGUACCACAUGUCUGUAUCUCCAGGUUCCCAUACAAAUUAGGAAACUAAAACUGCUGGAUGAUGAAAACAGAUUUCUGCUUGUUUCCAUGGGAAGUCAACUGCCAUGAAACCUCAGGCGAUGGGCGAGGGGGGGGGGGGGGAGGAGGGGGCGCGUUCGGCUCGAGGUGUUCUCUGGCAAGCGGAGGCACUCUGCUGCCCAGGCUCCUGCCCACACCUGUUCAAAAUGUCAGGGUGCCCACCCUGCUGGUGGCCAAGAAACACUGCAAAGAUCACAGACUGGUGAAGGGGCUGGCGUGUGUGGAAAGUACCCAAUGUAAAAGAGAACUUGUAAUACUGCAGUGUUAAAACUGGCUAUUUCUUCCUGCAAGCAGAUUUCAGUUAAUAAUAAAAGUAAUUUCAGAAUUC